rnacentral:rRNA from 1 species
GCGGAGCGAGUAAACGACCGUGUGAAGCCGGGGGUGUCACGUUUGGAUCGAGAGAAAGGGGAGCUGGGGGUGUCGCGUCGCGUAGUGGUGAGGGAGGAGGGAGUAGUCGGCGGCGGUCCAGAAGAGCGACCCCAGCUUCUCAUCCCCUAGGCCGACCUAGGCUCCGCACGCCCGCACCACCGCCAGUAGAAACCGUCGCCGCCGCCGCCCGUAGAGGCCGUUUUUCGCUACCGCCCCUACGAGCUAAGCGGUACCUGGCCAGGGACGUCCUCUCUCUUUCUUUCUCUCCUCCCUCUUUCGCUCUCCUUUCUCCUCUCCCUCCACGCUGCCGCCCGCCCUCUCCCAGAGGCCGGCCACGCUCUGUAAGUGCAGAGAGCAGGAGAGGACGAGAGCUGGUGGUGGCACCGGGAGGAAGAGGGGAAGUUAAGGGACAGAGGAGAAGAGACCUCAAUGGACUCACCAGUUGUGGCUCUUUCUACCCCUUAUGUUUCGGUCGCUCCUUCUGUCGAACUGAGACGGCGGCUAUGACUGGCCGGUUAAGACAGCCCGCGGCAGUACCCUCCUCCGCUUGGUAGCUCCUCGUCGUGCCCUCCUCUAUUUCUAUUCGGCGGCCUGAGGGACAAGUGAACACCAACGUAGAACGGGCACUCGAGGAAGAAGAAUGUCGGUCGAACCGGGAAAAGAACGGUACAAAACCCACUACGUCGCAUAGUUCGUCCGCUCCCGCUCCUAGUCUACGCCAUCGUCGACUUCCUCAGUACCUCUCCCCCGCUCUCACCCGUCGCCGACAGCCGGUUCUUCCUUCUCCGACCCUGCUCCUGGCCUCCUCCUCCAAGAGUACCACCUCGUAUCCUCCUGCCUCCGCCUCACGACGACGUUGUCGACACCCUGACCCGCUUUCCUACUUUAAUAACAAAUGAAAUCUAACCCCGCGACCUCGGUUACUUUUUUCUAGUGACGUCGAAACUUACACCCGUGUUCAGUUUACUUUGAUAACCUACCUCGUUAAGUCACGCCACCCCAUGUCCCCGAGCACGUCCUCAUAUAUAUUGUCGUCUCAAGUAGAGACAAAACGACUGUUAGGUGUGACUUUGACAACUUUUCAUCUAUUAGUCGGUUAUUUGUCAUUUAGUAGUGUAGAUAAACGAAAGGACCAUAUACCCCGGUAAUAAUAAGACCAUGAAGAUUUCUCAGUAAUAAGAAUACCAUGAAGAUGUAAACGUAUAGAAACACAAGUCUACCUUCAGUGGACCGUUUCCAGAUUGCAAAGUCUAAAUUACAAUAUAUGUACGGGUUCUCAUUAUGCAAUAUAUUAUAUGAGAUCUAACAUAAGAAUAAAUCAAAAAAAGUACGAAGAACAAAGUGACCCGAUAACGUUUCUGCUGUAUAGGUGAACCUCAACCUAUAAUAAAACUAUUGGUAUAGAUCGAUAAAAAUGUUUUAUUAUAGUUAAUUGAACGUAGCUAAGUUACGAUCUCGCCAUCAGUACUUUGUAACGGUGACGCGGUGUUCCGCUAAUUUUAGUACCUUUAACUAUAUUUUCAAUGAACACUAAAGAUAUCAGUACAUUAGUGUUUGGUAUUACUAUUUUUUCGGUUUAACAAAUAAAAUAACCUCUUGUGUAGUUGAUAUACCUCUUAGUUUCCACUUACAUUUACUUUGCGAGGUACAUGCAAAUCCGAGGUUAUAUUCUAAUUUUAUCACCUAUUUAGUAACAUGGUAUAAGUUAAUCUUGAUGUUUCUUCUUCUCUUUACCAACUUAUCGUUUAAGACUGGCCGGUUAAGGCAGCCCGUGGCAGUACCCUCCUCCGCUUGGUAGCUCCUCGUCGUACCCUCCUCUACUUUUAUUCGACAGCCUGAGGGAUAAGUGAAGACCAACGUAGAACGGACUUGGCAUAGUGUUGUUUAGUAACCGUAACGUCGAAGUCCCUGUACAUACUACGUCGAAGUCCCUAAAAUCAACCUGAGUAGCUCUAACUCCCGUGGUUGUCGUAUACGGCUCCCGCAGGUAGCUGUUGGACGGGUUACAGGCCUAAGUGGCUCCUCAUGUCGAUCUCUGUGAUAACCAACGGACGUCCGGACACUCAACUCAACGACGAAGCAACCUCUACAACUACAACAAGCUCUGCGGGCGACCUAAGUGGGAAAAGUUCCAAGACUUAAUCCCGUUCGAGCUGUUCCAACUCACCAUGUCCAUACUAGAAGUACCUCGAUCGGUAGUAACCUAAACCAUUAUGUAUUAGUGAAUAAGUCUCUCGGGUUCCACUCUUCCCUGCUCGUAGAUCUUGUGGUGGUGGAUGAUUAGUCGCUCGAUGAUAGACAGAAACUUACUCAAUGAAUUGUUCUCUUCCUCAAAGGAUGGAAAGAAGACGUUUAGGCCUUACGGAAAUACCGUACUAGUACACUUUUUCAUGGAACUACGUCAUUACCUAAACUAAUAGUGACCAAUGAGACAAAAGUGCUUAAUGAUAGGUUGAUCGUACCUUCUUGGUUUUCCAUCAACUAGUCGUCCUACCGUUCUCCUUCUGUUCUUGGUUUAAUUUCAAACAACAACACGUACAGACAUAGAUAGUUCUAAGUCACGAUACAUCUUUACAGGGACUCUAAACAAAGUGAGUUGCUCUGGUUUGUUAGUCCUUGUGUUCAUCCUAUCAACUACGAAAAAAGUAAAAAGAAGACUAUUUUUCCUUAGAAGUAGACGGUUCUUAUUCCGGAUGUUCGUACAUACGGAUUAAUGGAUAUACGACUAAAUUGCUCGAGUGUAUGUACAGGUAAAGACUUUUAUCAAAAUGGUAGGAGUUUGUAUAUUGAACACACAACAACGAAAGGUAAUAUAACUCUUUUUGUAUUCAUAGUAACCUGUAAAAUAAGUAAGUCCUCGAGAUUUACUGUAGCAACAUAACCGUUGUAUAAGUCAGUAAAGCCUAGUAGAAAGUCUCAGUAAGACCUGACAAGUACGGUUUAACAACCACACACUACAUUUUUUGACUUUUUUACCGUCAAGUACAAAUAAAAAGAAGACUUAAAACAAGGGGAUAUUCUACACCGG